rnacentral:rRNA from 1 species
GACGAACGCUGGCGGCGUGCCUAAUACAUGCAAGUUGAGCGCUGAAGGUUGGUACUUGUACCAACUGGAUGAGCAGCGAACGGGUGAGUAACGCGUGGGGAAUCUGCCUUUGAGCGGGGGACCACAUUUGGAAACGAAUGCUAAUACCGCAUAAAAACUUUAAACACAAGUUUUAAGUUUGAAAGAUGCAAUUGCAUCACUCAAAGAUGAUCCCGCGUUGUAUUAGCUAGUUGGUGAGGUAAAGGCUCACCAAGGCGAUGAUACAUAGCCGACCUGAGAGGGUGAUCGGCCACAUUGGGACUGAGACACGGCCCAAACUCCUACGGGAGGCAGCAGUAGGGAAUCUUCGGCAAUGGACGAAAGUCUGACCGAGCAACGCCGCGUGAGUGAAGAAGGUUUUCGGAUCGUAAAACUCUGUUGGUAGAGAAGAACGUUGGUGGGAGUGGAAAGCUCAUCAAGUGACGGUAACUACACAGAAAGGGACGGCUAACUACGUG